rnacentral:tRNA from 1 species
GGCCUUGUGGCGCAACGGUAGCGCGUCUGACUCCAGCUCACAAGGUUGCGUGUUCAAAUCACGUCAGGGUCA